rnacentral:misc_RNA from 1 species
GAACGCGCGAAACGUAAUGUGAAUUGCAGAAUUCAGUGAAUCAUCGAAUCUUUGAACGCAUCUUGCGCUCCUUGGUAUUCCGAGGAGCAUGCCUGUUUGAGUGUCAUAAAGUCUCUCAAUGAAUGAUUUUGUGAUCUUUCAUUGGAUGUGGAUGGUGUUGUUGACAUGGCGUUUCACAACUCAUCUGAAAUGAAUUAGCUUGGGUCCACCUUGGGGUCUCUUAUGUUAGUGUGAUAAUGCUUUUUGAUCACUUCAUUGGCCUUGUGUGUGACUGCUUCUAAUACCCCACCUUAUGUCAUUUGACCUCAAAUCAGGUAGGACUACCCGCUGAACUUAA